AUUGAGAAAGUGUUAAGACACUAAGUAUUGUGGUUACUUAAAUGUUUCAAUG
rnacentral:tRNA from 1 species